UGGCUGGCACAGGCACGGAGAGAGAAGCAAGCCCUUCCCCAGUGCAGAGCGCUCAGUGCUGCAUUGCAGUCUGCUGCCACAGAGCCAUGGGGCAGUGUUUAAAAUCUUACAACUGGAAGUUUGUGGAGGAGACUGAUGGACGAAGGGAUAGAAGAACAGCCAUUGUUGCUGAUUAUCAAUUCAAAUCCUUUGGGGAAGAGUCUUCUGGAAGUGAAUGGGAACUGAUCACCUUUCUACAGACUUCUUGAGUCAUCUCACAGAAUUUAACAGAAAAUAAUUAUUUCACUUCAAAUUGAUAUAAUGUGGCUUAAAAGUGCUUGAAGAUAAAAGAUGUACUCAUUUACACAAUCUAAGUUAUCAGCUGGGAUAAAUUAACUCUGAAUUCUGUGCAA